rnacentral:rRNA from 1 species
GACGAACGCUGGCGGCGUGCUUAACACAUGCAAGUCGAACGGUAAGGCUCCAGCUUGCUGGGGUACACGAGUGGCGAACGGGUGAGUAACACGUGGGUGACCUGCCCUGCACUUCGGGAUAAGCCUGGGAAACUGGGUCUAAUACCGGAUAGGACCAUGGUGUGGAUACUGUGGUGGAAAGUUUUUUCGGUGUGGGAUGGGCUCGCGGCUUAUCAGCUUGUUGGUGGGGUAAUGGCCUACUAAGGCGGCGACGGGUAGCCGGCCUGAGAGGGUGGACGGCCACAUUGGGACUGAGAGACGGCCCAGACGCCUACGGGAGGCAGCAGUGGGGAAUAUUGCACAAUGGGCGGAAGCCUGAUGCAGCGACGCCGCGUGGGGGAUGACGGCCUUCGGGUUGUAAACUCAUGUCACCAUCGCCGAAGGGUUUCUGACGGUAGAUGGAGAAGAAGCACCGGCUAACUACGUG